AAUUCUCAACUACACUUGGUGUGGCUUGGAUCUGGGGGUUGUUGCAGGCUUAUUUUUGCAGUCUGCUCCCCUGAAAUUUAUUUAGCAGUACCUUGGUGGAACUGUCUACAGGUGUGAUAAUUAUCUACAUCCUGGACAUCUGCUUUUUAAUGCUGCUUUCUAAACCUCAUAUGUAUGUAUUGACCA
rnacentral:misc_RNA from 1 species